CAUGGAAAUAGGUUCUGAUCAAGGACCCAUGUAAAACCCAGUGUAAUUGUGUGUUGGCUAUGGGAAGGGGUGGGGUGAGGGGAGGGAGGGAAAGAAUAUGAUUCUUGUAACCGAGGAAUAAUGUUCUAAGUUGACUAAAUGAAAUUUUAAAAAAAAAGAGAAAGAAAGAAAGGAAGGAAGGAAGGAAGAAAGAAAGAAAGAAAGAAAGAAAGAAAGAAAGAAAGAAAGAAAGAAAGAAAGAAAGAAAGAAAGAAAGAAAGAAAGAAAGAAAGAAAGAAAGAAAGAAAGAAAGAAAGAAAGAAAGAAAGAAAGAAAGAAAGAAAGAAAGAAAGAAAGAAAGAAAGAAAGAAAGAAAGAAAGAAAGAAAGAAAGAAAGGAAGAAAGAAAGAAAGGAAGGAAGGAAGGAAGGAAGAGAGAGAAAGAAAGAAAGAGAAAGAGAAAAAAGAAAGAAAGAAAGAAAGAAAGAAAGAAAGAAAGAAAGAAAGAAAGAAAGAAAGAAAGAAAGAAAGAAAGAAAGAAAGAAAGAAAGAAAGAAAGAAAGAAAGAAAGAAAGAAAGAAAGAAAGAAAGAAAGAAAGAAAGAAAGAAAGAAAGAAAGAAGCAGGAGCAUUGGUAAGUAAAAGGUUAAAAUAUUUCUCAUUCCAGAUAAUUUGAU
rnacentral:lncRNA from 1 species